rnacentral:tRNA from 1 species
GCGGUCGUAGCUCAGUGGAUAGAGCACAGGUCUUCGGAACCUGUGGCCGCGGGUUCGAAUCCUGCCGACCGCGCCA